UUAAUCCAUAACAGGCAGUCCUCAGUGACCCUCAUCACUCUGACAACACACACAGUCUCUGUGCAUCCUACCAGUCUGAUAUCACCUGUCUACUCUUCAGCUUAAGAUGAGUGGGACUGACACACUCCCAGCAGGCAGCCAACUGGUACCAGGACAAUAUCUGAUAUCGGUGAACAAACUAUACAAAGCAACAUUUGAG